rnacentral:tRNA from 1 species
GCCUCGGUAGCUCAGCUGGUCAGAGCAGGUGACUCUUAAUCACUGGGUCGGGGGUUCGAAUCCCUCCCGGGGCACUA